AGUGAACGCUGGCGGUAGGCCUAACACAUGCAAGUCGAACGGUAGCACAGUAAGAGCUUGCUCUUACGGGUGACGAGUGGCGUACGGGUGAGGUAUACAUCGGACUCUACUUUUUCGUGGGGGGGAAAGUAGGGCAACUAACGCUAAUACGGCAUAGGACCUACGGGGGAAAGCAAGGGAUCUUCGGACCUUGCGCGAAUGAAUGAGCCGAUGUCGGAUUAGCUAGUUGGCGGGGUAACGGCCCACCAAGGCGGCGAUCCGUAGCUGGUCUGAGAGGAUGAUCAGCCACACUGGAACUGAGACACGGUCCAGACUCCUACGGGAGGCAGCAGUGGCGAAUAUUGGACAAUGGGCGCAAUCCUGAUCCAGCCAUACAGCGUGGGUGCAGAAGGCCUUCGGGUUGUAAAGCCCUUUUGUUGGGAAAGACAAGCAGCAGCUUAAUAGCCCGCUGUUCUGACGGUACCCACAGAAUAAGCACCGGCUAACUUCGUG
rnacentral:rRNA from 1 species